rnacentral:rRNA from 1 species
UACGAAGGGUGCAAACGUUGCUCGGAAUCAUUGGGCGUAAAGCGCACGUAGGCGGCUUGCCAAGUCGGACGUGAAAUCCCUCAGCUCAACUGAGGACGUGCAUCCGAAACUGGCGAGCUUGAGUACUGAAGAGGAUCGCGGAAUUCCCGGUGUAGAGGUGAAAUUCGUAGAUAUCGGGAGGAACACCAGUGGCGAAGGCGGCGAUCUGGGCAGAUACUGACGCUGAGGUGCGAAAGCGUGGGGAGCAAACGGG